GUGUCAGCCGCCGCGGUAAUACGAACCGGGCUAGCGUUGUUCGGAUUUACUCCGCGUAAAGCGCACGUAGGCGGACUAUUAAGUCAGGGGUGAAAUCCCGGGGCUCAACCCCGGAACUGCCAUUGAUACUGGUAGUCUUGAGUUCGAGAGAGGUGAGUGGAACUCCGAGUGUAGAGGUGAAAUUGGUAGAUAUUCGGAGGAACACCAGUGGCGAAGGCGGCUCACUGGCUCGAUACUGACGCUGAGGUGCGAAAGCGUGGGGAGCAAACAGAAUUAGAUACCCUGGUAGUCC
rnacentral:rRNA from 1 species